rnacentral:rRNA from 1 species
CUACGGAGGGCUCCAGUGAGGAAUAUUGCACAAUGGAGGAAACUCUGAUGCAGCAACGCCGCGUGGAGGAUGACGCAUUUCGGUGUGUAAACUCCUUUUAUAUGUCAAGAAAAUGACGGUAGCAUAUGAAUAAGCUCCGGCUAACUCCGUGCCAGCAGCCGCGGUAAUACGGAGGGAGCAAGCGUUACUCGGAAUCACUGGGCGUAAAGGACGCGUAGGCGGGAUAGAAAGUCAGGUGUGAAAUCCUAUGGCUCAACCAUAGAACUGCACUUGAAACUUCUAACCUAGAGUAUGGGAGGGGAAGAUGGAAUUAGUGGUGUAGGGGUAAAAUCCGUAGAUAUCACUAGGAAUACCAAAAGCGAAGGCGAUCUUCUGGAACAAUACUGACGCUAAGGCGUGAAAGCGUGGGGAGCAAACAGGAUUAGAUACCCUUGUAGUC